rnacentral:rRNA from 1 species
UUAAAUUGAAGAGUUUGAUCAUGGCUCAGAUUGAACGCUGGCGGCAGGCUUAACACAUGCAAGUCGAACGGUAACAGGAAGCAGCUUGCUGCUUUGCUGACGAGUGGCGGACGGGUGAGUAAUGUCUGGGAAACUGCCUGAUGGAGGGGGAUAA